CAAUAGCGUAUAUUAAAGUUGUUGCAGUUAAAAAGCUCGUAGUUGGAUUUCGGGAUGGCUCGGCCGGUCUGCCGCAAGGUAUGUUACUGGCCGCGCUGUUCUUCUUCGCAAAGACUGUGUGUGCUCUUAACUGAGUGUGCAUAGGAUCUGCGACGUUUACUUUGAAAAAAUUAGAGUGUUCAAAGCAAGCCAGCGCUUGAAUACAUAAGCAUGGAAUAAUGGAAUAGGACUUUGGUUCUAUUUUGUUGGUUUCUGGAACCGAAGUAAUGAUUAAGAGAGACAGUUGGGGGCAUUCGUAUUUCGUUGUCAGAGGUGAAAUUCUUGGAUUUACGAAAGACGAACUACUGCGAAAGCAUUUGCCAAGAAUGUUUUCAUUAA
rnacentral:rRNA from 1 species